GACGAACGCGGCGGCGUGCUUAACACAUGCAAGUCGAACGCGAAGCCCAGCUUGCUGGGUGGAUGAGUGGCGAACGGGUGAGUAACACGUGAGUAACCUGCCCCCUUCUUUGGGAUAACGCCCGGAAACGGGUGCUAAUACUGGAUAUUCACUGGCCUUCGCAUGGGGGUUGGUGGAAAGGUUUUUUCUGGUGGGGGAUGGGCUCGCGGCCUAUCAGCUUGUUGGUGGGGUGAUGGCCUACCAAGGCUUUGACGGGUAGCCGGCCUGAGAGGGUGACCGGUCACAUUGGGACUGAGAUACGGCCCAGACUCCUACGGGAGGCAGCAGUGGGGAAUAUUGCACAAUGGGCGAAAGCCUGAUGCAGCGACGCCGCGUGAGGGAUGACGGCCUUCGGGUUGUAAACCUCUUUCGCUCAUGGUCAAGCCGCAGCUUUGGGUUGUGGUGAGGGUAGUGGGUAAAGAAGCGCCGGCUAACUACGUGCCAGCAGCCGCGGUAAUACGUAGGGCGCGAGCGUUGUCCGGAAUUAUUGGGCGUAAAGGGCUUGUAGGCGGUUGGUCGCGUCUGCCGUGAAAUCCUCUGGCUUAACUGGGGGCGUGCGGUGGGUACGGGCUGACUUGAGUGCGGUAGGGGAGACUGGAACUCCUGGUGUAGCGGUGGAAUGCGCAGAUAUCAGGAAGAACACCGGUGGCGAAGGCGGGUCUCUGGGCCGUUACUGACGCUGAGGAGCGAAAGCGUGGGGAGCGAACAGG
rnacentral:rRNA from 1 species